rnacentral:SRP_RNA from 12 species
UUUUUCGCGAAUUGCGACAGGAGAGAAAGCCAGCAAGCAUGUGCAAGGUUAGAGAUGGGAUGGA